CGCGUAGGCGGGAUGGCAAGUCGGUCGUGAAAUCCUUCGGCUCAACCGAAGAACGUCGAUCGAUACUGCUGUUCUUGAGGGUUGCAGAGGAGACUGGAAUUCCCGGUGUAGCGGUGAAAUGUGUAGAGAUCGGGAGGAACACCGGUGGCGAAGGCGGGUCUCUGGGCAACUCCUGACGCUGAGGCGCGAAAGCGUGGGAGCAAACGGGAUUAGAUACCCCGGUAGUCCACGCUGUAAACGAUGACGACUAGGUGUGGGGGGGUUCAGUCCCUUCCGUGCCGCAGCUAACGCAUUAAGUCGUCCGCCUGGGGAGUACGGCCGCAAGGUUGAA
rnacentral:rRNA from 1 species